UUAAUAUGUAGGUAUUCCCAUUCUUCAAUUCAACAAAUCAUGACACAGCCCUUUCUGGUUAAUAUGUAGGUAUUCCCAUUCUUCAAUUCAACAAAUCAUGGCACAGCCCUUUCUGGUUAAUAUGUAGGUAUUCCCAUUCUUCAAUUCAACAAAUCAUUAGACAGCCCUUUCUGGUUAAUAUGUAGGUAUUCCCAUUCUUCAAUUCAACAAAUCAUGACACAGCCCUUUCUGUUUAAUAUGUAGGUAUUCCCAUUCUUCAAUUCAACAAAUCAUUAGACAGCCCUUUCUGUUUAAUAUGUAGGUAUUCCCACUCUUCAAUUCAACAGUUGCUUUUAUUUGCUGUCAAAAUACUCAUAUCAAAAGAUGAAAAAUGCGUCACAUUGAUUCUUCAGU
ensembl:lncRNA